rnacentral:rRNA from 1 species
AGAGUUUGAUCCUGGCUCAGGACGAACGCUGGCGGCGCGCCUAACACAUGCAAGUCGAACGGAGCUGAGAGGAGCUUGCUUUUCUUAGCUUAGUGGCGAACGGGUGAGUAACGCGUGAGUAACCUGCCCUGGAGUGGGGGACAACAGUUGGAAACGACUGCUAAUACCGCAUAAGCCCACGGCCCGGCAUCGGGCUGAGGGAAAAGGAUUUAUUCGCUUCAGGAUGGACUCGCGUCCAAUUAGCUAGUUGGUGAGGUAACGGCCCACCAAGGCGACGAUUGGUAGCCGGACUGAGAGGUUGAACGGCCACAUUGGGACUGAGACACGGCCCAGACUCCUACGGGAGGCAGCAGUGGGGGAUAUUGCACAAUGGGGGAAACCCUGAUGCAGCGACGCCGCGUGGAGGAAGAAGGUUUUCGGAUUGUAAACUCCUGUCGUUAGGGACGAUAAUGACGGUACCUAACAAGAAAGCACCGGCUAACUACGUGCCAGCAGCCGCGGUAAAACGUAGGGUGCAAGCGUUGUCCGGAAUUACUGGGUGUAAAGGGAGCGCAGGCGGACCGGCAAGUUGGAAGUGAAAACUAUGGGCUCAACCCAUAAAUUGCUUUCAAAACUGCUGGCCUUGAGUAGUGCAGAGGUAGGUGGAAUUCCCGGUGUAGCGGUGGAAUGCGUAGAUAUCGGGAGGAACACCAGUGGCGAAGGCGGCCUACUGGGCACCAACUGACGCUGAGGCUCGAAAGUGUGGGUAGCAAACAGGAUUAGAUACCCUGGUAGUCCACACCGUAAACGAUGAUUACUAGGUGUUGGAGGAUUGACCCCUUCAGUGCCGCAGUUAACACAAUAAGUAAUCCACCUGGGGAGUACGACCGCAAGGUUGAAACUCAAAGGAAUUGACGGGGGCCCGCACAAGCAGUGGAGUAUGUGGUUUAAUUCGACGCAACGCGAAGAACCUUACCAAGUCUUGACAUCCUGCGACGGUGCUGGAAACAGUACUUUCCUUCGGGACGCAGAGACAGGUGGUGCAUGGUUGUCGUCAGCUCGUGUCGUGAGAUGUUGGGUUAAGUC